GAUGAACGCUGGCGGCGUGCCUAAUACAUGCAAGUCGAGCGAACAGACGAGGAGCUUGCUCCUCUGACGUUAGCGGCGGACGGGUGAGUAACACGUGGAUAACCUACCUAUAAGACUGGGAUAACUUCGGGAAACCGGAGCUAAUACCGGAUAAUAUAUUGAACCGCAUGGUUCAAUAGUGAAAGACGGUUUUGCUGUCACUUAUAGAUGGAUCCGCGCCGCAUUAGCUAGUUGGUAAGGUAACGGCUUACCAAGGCGGCGAUGCGUAGCCGACCUGAGAGGGUGAUCGGCCACACUGGAACUGAGACACGGUCCCGACUCCUACGGGAGGCCGCAGUAGGGAAUCUUCCGCAAUGGGCGAAAGCCUGACGGAGCAACGCCGCGUGAGUGAUGAAGGUCUUCGGAUCGUAAAACUCUGUUAUUAGGGAAGAACAAAUGUGUAAGUAACUAUGCACGUAUUGACGGUACCUAAUCAGAAAGCCACGGCUAACUCCGUG
rnacentral:rRNA from 1 species